rnacentral:rRNA from 1 species
AAAGAGAGCUUGCUCUCUGGAAUCAGCGGCGGACGGGUGAGUAACACGUGGGCAACCUGCCUGUAAGACUGGGAUAACUCCGGGAAACCGGGGCUAAUACCGGAUAACUUCUUUUCCCGCAUGGGGAGAGGUUGAAAGACGGUUAUGCUGUCACUUACAGAUGGGCCCGCGGCGCAUUAGCUAGUUGGUGGGGUAACGGCCUACCAAGGCGACGAUGCGUAGCCGACCUGAGAGGGUGAUCGGCCACACUGGGACUGAGACACGGCCCAGACUCCUACGGGAGGCAGCAGUAGGGAAUCUUCCGCAAUGGACGAAAGUCUGACGGAGCAACGCCGCGUGAGUGACGAAGGCCUUCGGGUCGUAAAACUCUGUUAUCAGGGAAGAACAAGCAUCGUUUAACUGACGGUGCCAUGACGGUACCUGACCAGAAAGCCACGGCUAACUACGUGCCAGCAGCCGCGGUAAUACGUAGGUGGCAAGCGUUGUCCGGAAUUAUUGGGCGUAAAGCGCGCGCAGGCGGCUUCUUAAGUCUGAUGUGAAAGCCCACGGCUCAACCGUGGAGGGUCAUUGGAAACUGGGAGGCUUGAGUGCAGAAGAGGAGAGCGGAAUUCCACGUGUAGCGGUGAAAUGCGUAGAGAUGUGGAGGAACACCAGUGGCGAAGGCGGCUCUCUGGUCUGUAACUGACGCUGAGGCGCGAAAGCGUGGGUAGCGAACAGGAUUAGAUACCCUGGUAGUCCACGCCGUAAACGAUGAGUGCUAAGUGUUAGGGGGUUUCCGCCCCUUAGUGCUGCAGCAAACGCAUUAAGCACUCCGCCUGGGGAGUACGGCCGCAAGGCUGAAACUCAAAGGAAUUGACGGGGGCCCGCACAAGCGGUGGAGCAUGUGGUUUAAUUCGAAGCAACGCGAAGAACCUUACCAGGUCUUGACAUCCCGCUGGCCGGUCUGGAGACAGAUCUUUCCCUUCGGGGACAGCGGUGACAGGUGGUGCAUGGUUGUCGUCAGC